rnacentral:rRNA from 1 species
CACCACGGAGUGAUUCAUGACUGGGGUGAAGUCGUAACAAGGUAGCCCUAGGGGAACCUGGGGCUGGAUCACCUCCUUA